CCUCUCGUAGUGUAGGGGUAACGCGCCCUAACUAUUGCACAGGGAGUCGUGAGUUCAAUUCUCACCGAGAACA
rnacentral:tRNA from 1 species